rnacentral:rRNA from 1 species
UGCCAGCARCCGCGGUAAUACAGAGACUGCAAGCGGUUAUUCGGAUUCACUGGGCGUAAAGGGUGCGCAGGCGGCUUUGUGUGUGGGACGUGAAAGCCCRAGGCUUAACCUCGGAACAGCGCCCCAAACUACAAAACUAGAGCAUUGGAGAGAGUGGCAGAAUUCACGGUGUAGCAGUGAAAUGCGUAGAUAUCGUGAGGAAUACCAGAGGCGAAGGCGGCCACUUAGACAAUUGMUGACGCUCAGGCACGAAAGCGUGGGGAGCAAAAGGGAUUASAUACCCUGGUAGUCCAAGGGCRAAUU